UACAGAGGUGGCAAGCGUUGUUCGGAAUUACUGGGCGUAAAGGGCGCGUAGGCGGUUCGUUAAGUCCUGUGUGAAAUCCCCCGGCUCAACUGGGGAACUGCACAGGAAACUAGCGGGCUUGAGUUCGGGAGAGGGAAGCGGAAUUCCGGGUGUAGCGGUGAAAUGCGUAGAUAUUGGGAGGAACAUCGGUGGCGAAGGCGGCUACCUGGACGGGUACUGACGCUGAUGCGCGAAAGCUAGGGGAGCAAACAGG
rnacentral:rRNA from 1 species